rfam:Morus notabilis contig5772, whole genome shotgun sequence.
UAGAUAUGAUGAGUAAUCCUUUUGGUCCGUGUUUCUGAUUCAACCAUGACCGAUAACCCUUUUUACCAAACUCUGAUCUU